rnacentral:rRNA from 1 species
UACGUAUGGUGCAAGCGUUAUCCGGAUUUACUGGGUGUAAAGGGAGCGCAGGCGGCACGGCAAGCCUGAUGUGAAAGCCCGCGGCCCAACCGCGGGACUGCAUUGGGAACUACCGGGCUGGAGUGCCGGAGAGGUAGGCGGAAUUCCUAGUGUAGCGGUGGAAUGCGUAGAUAUUCGGAGGAACACCGGUGGCGAAGGCGGCCAACUGGGCUUUAACUGACGCUGAGGCUCGAAAGUGUGGGGAGCAAACAGG